GGUUCUUCGGUGAAGAUUAAUAGGGAACCCCGUGAAAAUCAGGGACUAAUCCCGUAGCUGUGAGCUUUAGAGAACGUUUGACAACCCAGCCACUGUCCAACCCAUGAGGACGGGAAGGCCGUCGGAGCGGAAGCGAGUCAGAAGACCUGCCUUGGAAAA
rnacentral:ncRNA from 1 species